GUGCUGGGAUUACAGGUGUAAGCCACGGUGUCUGGUCUGGAUGAUACUUUUUGUAGAGUAUGUGUGCAUAAUUAUUUGCUCAAUGUUAUAUUCAUAGCAGUCUCUUUACACAUUUAAUUUAUCCUUUAUGAUUUAAAACAAUUUAAAGCUACAGAUUACAUGUUACAAUUUGAUUUUUUAUAAAAUUAAAUAGACUUUUGUUUAUAAAAAAAUUGACAAUGUGUUUCAUCAAUGUUAAUCUGUAGUUUGUAAUUACAAUAAUACCAAAUAAAAUUUUUCUAGAGUCA
rnacentral:lncRNA from 10 species